rnacentral:sRNA from 1 species
UUGAACCCAAUACCCCUACUCGGCGGUGACUAGUACACCUUAUCUCUUCGAAACCCUAGCUAAGAGCCGUCGCUUUAUCUCUUUUCUCUUCUUCUUCUUCCCUUGUACUCCUCCGAUCCCCAAUCUCAUCUAUCACCACCUGACCUGAUCUUUCCCUGCAGAUCUCAUUGAGAAAGAGAAGAGAAGAGAUAUUCUUUUUUCCAAAGAAGAAAAUCUUGGCCGCGCGCGCGAGAUCUUUGCGCAAAAGAUGAUAUAUGAUGCCUGAUCGAUCUUCUCGUUUCGGAUCUUAUUAUUGCUCGGCUAAUUAGUAUUAUUAACGCUGCUAGCCAGGGCCUUUGAUCCGCGUGGUCGUGGUCGUCGGUGAGGCAGCCGGGCAGGCCGACUCCCAUGCAUGGAAGCUCGCUUCAGGGUCAAGUCAACUGAUUAUGUUUUUCAUUAAUUUGUUGGUAAUUAAUUUUUUUAUAUGUACGUACAUAUAUAUAUAGCUCGGAUGGUUUGGUAUUUCUUUCUCAGAUCUAUAUAUAUUGCAAGGGGAUCGGAGUGUCGUUAGUUACACGGUAUUUAUUAUAGAGUUUUUGGGAUAGAGAGAGAUUUCUGACUAUUAGCUAGACUAGACUGAAGGCUUUUGUUUCUUUUCUUCUUUGAUUUGAUCUGAUCUGUUCAAUGGAGAACAUUUUUAUGGAAGCCGAGGGCAGGGGAUAGCUAGCCGGAGGUGCUCCUAGUCCGUGAUAUGGAAGGGGCUAUAUAUUCAACUGCAACGCUAUUGGUCCUCCAAUCCAUUUUAUCUCGGCCCCUGAAACUCAAGUUGUUUUGAUACAAUUACAAUUAAUAAUCAACAACUGGGUGGUUGUGGUGAAAACUCUCAGCAUUGCAAGACCAAUGCCCCUCAGCCUGGACAGCACAAAGGCACAUUACACCAUGAUGAUGGCGCCCACUAAAUAAAUUUGUUACCACCUACCAUUUUUCAUCGUUGUGUGUUUGGAUUACUGAGCGUGAACAAAGGGGUCCUAUAUAUCUGUUGGACUGAGCAGGGAAAGAUAGAUAGUACUUGAGGGGGAUGGUGCUCUAUCUUUGUUGGAUUGUACUGUCUUACUGAUUAGCGAUUUCUAUUCAUGUGUCGGUUAGCUCAAUAGCUGUUAAACUUUAUAUUUGAUAACUAUUUUAUAU